UAGAAACGUGCGUACGCCAGCCAGGAUUUUUGCGUGAUGCACUGCACAUUUCCACAGUCAUAUCACUUUUGACACAUCUGAACGUGAGCGUGGAGACAGACGUACGCCACGUUUUUGUGUGUAAGCACGCUUUGUACAUGAGGCUCCAGAUCUGUAUGUGCCAUUG